UACGUAGGGGGCAAGCGUUGUCCGGAUUUAUUGGGCGUAAAGAGCGUGUAGGCGGCCAUACAGGUCAGCUGUGAAAACUCGAGGCUCAACCUCGAGACGUCGGUUGAAACCGUUUGGCUAGAGUCCGGAAGAGGAGAGUGGAAUUCCCGGUGUAGCGGUGAAGUGCGCAGAUAUCGGGAAGAACACCCGUGGCGAAGGCGGCUCUCUGGGACGGUACUGACGCUGAGACGCGAAAGCGUGGGGAGCGAACAGG
rnacentral:rRNA from 1 species